rnacentral:pre_miRNA from 1 species
UUUCCGACCCUUUUGCACUGUUUAUAUUUAACGUUUAACCAUUUAUCUUAUUUGAAAAUUUUUUAUAAUUAGUAUUCUUAUUGUUAUUAGAUGAUAACACAUUAAUAAUACUUUAUGUGUGACUAUUUUUUUUAUUUUUUUAUAAAUUUUUUAAAUAAGACGGACGGUCAAACGUUGGACACAGAUCCCCACAACUGUACUUAUU